rnacentral:rRNA from 1 species
UACAGAGGUCCCGAGCGUUGUUCGGAUUCACUGGGCGUAAAGGGUGCGUAGGUGGCGUGGUAAGUUUGAUGUGAAAGCUCAGGGCUUAACCCUGAAAUGGCAUUGAAUACUACUGUGCUGGAGGUUUGGAGGGGGGACUGGAAUUCUUGGUGUAGCAGUGAAAUGCGUAGAUAUCAAGCGGAACACCAGUGGCGAAGGCGAGUCCCUGGACAACUCCUGACACUGAGGCACGAAAGCUAGGGGAGCAAACAGG